rnacentral:rRNA from 1 species
AGUGAACGCUGGCGAUAGGCCUAACACAUGCAAGUCGAACGGCAGCACAGUAAGAGCUUGCUCUUACGGGUGGCGAGUGGCGGGCGGGUGAGGAAUACAUCGGAAUCUACUUUUUCGUGGGGGAUAACGUAGGGAAACUUACGCUAAUACCGCAUACGACCUACGGGUGAAAGCAGGGGAUCUUCGGACCUUGCGCGAUUGAAUGAGCCGAUGUCGGAUUAGCUAGUUGGCGGGGUAAAGGCCCACCAAGGCGACGAUCCGUAGCUGGUCUGAGAGGAUGGUAAGCCACACUGGAACUGAGACACGGUCCAGACUCCUACGGGAGGCAGCAGUGGGGAAUAUUGGACAAUGGGCGCAAGCCUGAUCCAGCCAUACCGCGUGGGUGAAGAAGGCCUUCGGGUUGUAAAGCCCUUUUGUUGGGAAAGAAAAGCAGCAGGUUAAUACCCCGCUGUUCUGACGGUACCCAAAGAAUAAGCACCGGCUAACUUCGUG